rnacentral:rRNA from 1 species
ACUCCUACGGGAGGCAGCAGUGGGGAAUAUUGCACAAUGGGCGCAAGCCUGAUGCAGCCAUGCCGCGUGUGUGAAGAAGGCCUUCGGGUUGUAAAGCACUUUCAGUCGUGAGGAAGGUAGUGUAGUUAACACCUGCACUAUUUGACGUUACCUACAGAAGAAGCACCGGCUAACUCCGUGCCAGCAGCCGCGGUAAUACGGAGGGGUGCGAGCGUUAAUCGGAAUUACUGGGGCGUAAAGCGCAUGCAGGCGGCCUGUUAAGUCAGAUGUGAAAGCCCGGGGGCUUAACCUCGGAAUUGCAUUUGAAACUGGCAGGCUAGAGUCUUGUAGAGGGGGUAGAAUUUCAGGUGUAGCGGUGAAAUGCGUAGAGAUCUGAAGGAAUACCAGUGGCGAAGGCGGCCCCCUGGACAAAGACUGACGCUCAGAUGCGAAAGCGUGGGGAGCAAACAGGAUUAGAUACCCUGGUAGGAUAGCG